rnacentral:misc_RNA from 1 species
GUAGUGGUUUCCGCGGUAUCUACAUUUGUACUUUUUUUUCUACUAUCAUAAAUUAUGUGCGAACUCGAUACCUUCUUAUUCUAACUUCAUUCCUUGGCUAACCUGCGGACACACAACAAGUGUUUUUCGAGUCGUUCAACUUACUUAGUUUAUAACGGAACUUCAAAAUGAUGCAGCCAGAGGAUGAAAGAAUCGAUCCCAUCAGUUCAGAGAAAGAUAAACCUCAGAUUCCGAAGUUAAAACAGAAUGAUGGCCUCAUGAACAUGGCCGUAAAACGCAAUGAAAAUUUUAACACCGGGAUCCCUCCUGUGGCCAUUCCCGGAGGGAGUUCAAUGCAAGGGGGGCUAACAAAUGUCAUCGCAAUAGAUUGUGAAAUGGUCGGCGCUGGUAAGAAAGGUCGAAUAUCCAUGCUAGCAAGAGUUUCUGUUGUCAAUGAAUAUGGUGAAGUACUUCUUGACAAAUAUGUUAAGCCGUGGAGGAAGGUUGUUGACUACAGGACAAAGUAUUCUGGUAUUCGAGAAGCUGACAUAAAAGAUGGGGAAGACUUUGGCCAUGUAAGGGAGCAGGUGAAAGCGAUGCUUCAGGGAAGAAUAUUGGUGGGCCAUGCUUUGGAACAUGACUUUAUGGCACUUAACAUUAGUCAUCAAAGAGCAUACACUAGAGAUACAUCGCGGUAUAAAAGUUUCCAAAACCUGGUUGGUGGUAAUAUCCCAUCCCUAAAGAACCUGAGUUUGACAAUAUUGGGACAGAAGAUUCAGAAAGGGGAACACAGCUCGGUUGAAGAUGCAAAGGCAGCGAUGAGCCUAUACAUGCUUCACCGAGAAGAAUGGGAGGCUAACUUGGACGUUUAUUUGAAGGACAAUAUUACUAAAAAACAAAAGAGGAAGAUGCAAAGGAAGAAUCGUGACAGAAAGAGAUGGAAAAAUAAUGACAGAAGAGGGGAAAAGAAUGAUAAGAAAAGAGGGAAAGAUACUGUUGAGACCAGAGGGGAAAAUGAUGACAAAAUCAGAGGGCAAGAUAAUGUUCAGAUGAGAGGGGAAAAUAGUGACAAGAAAAGAAGGGAAAGUAAUGUUGAGAUCAGAGAGGGAAAUAAUGACAAGAUAAGAAAAAAUAAUGUAACACAAGGGGAAAAUAAAGAAAAGAUUACAGGGCAAAAGAAUGUUCAAAUCAGAGGGGAAAAGAAUGCUCAAAUUAGCGGGGAAAAUACUGACAAGAAAAGAAAGGAAAAUAAUGUUGAGGUCAGAGGGGAAAGCAAUGACAAGAUAAGUAAAAAUGAUAAUGUGAUAAGAGGGGAAAAUAAAGAAAACAGAAAGAAAAAGAAUAACAAGAACAGAAGGAGAGCAAAGGCCAAGAUCAGAAGUGAAAAUGAUGAGAAGAAAGAACCAGAGGCAGAAGAAGGCAGAGGAAUGGCUGUCGCUUCAACAUCAGGCUUCAGUCAAGCCAAGGAAGUGCGAAGACCAACAACCUUUGAAACGAGGUUCAACGAAGACCUUGAGAUUGUGACAAUAUAUGGUAACCGACAAAGGUCACCCAAGAAGGAGAGAGAAAAGACAGCAGAAUGUGAAAGGUCAAAGCAAAAACAAGGUUGCUCUCCAAAUGACCUCUCAGGACGCAGGUAUAAUGUCUCACAAACAGAAUGUGGAGAUAUAAGUUUUAUUAGUCCAAGAAAAGGUAGAAUUAUGACGUCUACACCAAGACAACAGAGUGAGGAAUAAAAACUGUUGACAGAUCCUGAUGCUGAAGAACCUGUUCAGACAUGAAUUCAGCACAAGAUGAACAAACGGCAAUGCUUCUGUUUGAAUCUUACCAUCAAGAAUGGGAGGACAGUUUGUGAGAAGAUAAAAAGGAAAAGAGGAAAGGAAAACAAGUAGCAGGUGCCAAGAUAUCACAGACUAAGUUUAAAAGAAAGUAAAAGUGUAAAUCAAGUGAAGAAACUUAGCUCAGGAGAUUUGUAUUAUUUUUAGAAGGUGUUUGAAUUCUUUGUACAAAUAGGAAAUCUUUUGCACAAAUGCUGCAAAAUGGAAUGUAUGUAUUGUUUUUACUUCUUACAGAUUAUUAUUAGCAUUGCAAGAUAUGAUCUUACAAUUUAGACAGGAUUGUUUUAUGAUUUUACUGUAUAUAAAGUAAAGUUAUUGGUUUCAGUUUUAGAUAUUUAGUUAAGUUUGUAUUUUUCAGAAGAAAAUGAGGGUUAUUGAACAGUAGAAGAAAUGUAUAAAGUUAUGUUUGUUAUAACUUGUUAUUUUUGUUAAUUCAUGUUGUUAUUCAUGAAACUUUUGCUUUUGUAUGAAUAUUACCAUCAGGAAAAGGAAGAUUAAGCUAUCACUGACCAAGUUUAAAAGUAAAUAUGAAGGUACACCAUAUGAAGAAUCUUAGUUUGAAAGAUUUGUAUUAUUUUACGAAGUAUUCUUUUUACAAACAGGAACAAAUGUUGGAGGAUGGAAUAUUUGUAUUAUCUUGUGCAAAUGUUACAGAAUGGAAUAUAGGUAUUUGUUUUUACAGCUUCCAUGUUAUUAUUAACAUUACAAGACAUAAUGUUACAGGUUCAGGGAAGACUGUUAUGAUUUUACUAAAUAAGAAGAAAAAAUAUUGUUUUCAGCUUUAAGUAUUUAGCAGUUAUGAUAUUAGCAACUAAGCAUUUUAUAGAGGUAUAUUGAAAAGUACGAGAUGAAUAUAUAUUUAUGUUUAACAUAAUGCUCUGUUGUAUUUAUUGGUUGAUUCUGUCAUUUAUAAAAUGUUCAAGAAAA